rnacentral:rRNA from 1 species
AUUGAACGCUGGCGGCAGGCCUAACACAUGCAAGUCGAACGAGUGGCGGACGGGUGAGUAAUGUCUGGGAAACUACCUGAUGGAGGGGGAUAACUACUGGAAACGGUAGCUAAUACCGCAUACCAUCGGAUGUGCCCAGAUGGGAUUAGCUAGUGGGUGGGGUAACGGCUCACCUAGGCGACGAGCCCUAGCUGGUCUGAGAGGAUGACCAGCCACACUGGAACUGAGACACGGUCCAGACUCCUACGGGAGGCAGCAGGGGGGAAUAUUGCACAAUGGGCACAAGCCUGAUGCAGCCAGGCCGCGUGUGUGAAGAAGCCCUUCGGGUUGUAAAGCACUUGCAGCGGGGAGGCGUUACCCGCAGAAGAAGCACCGGCUAACUCCGUGCCAGCAGCCGCGGUAAUUC